rnacentral:rRNA from 1 species
GACGAACGCUGGCGGCGUGCUUAACACAUGCAAGUCGAACGGAAAGGCCCUGCUUUUGUGGGGUGCUCGAGUGGCGAACGGGUGAGUAACACGUGAGUAACCUGCCCUUGACUUUGGGAUAACUUCAGGAAACUGGGGCUAAUACCGGAUAGGAGCUCCUGCUGCAUGGUGGGGGUUGGAAAGUUUCGGCGGUUGGGGAUGGACUCGCGGCUUAUCAACUUGUUGGUGGGGUAGUGGCUUACCAAGGCUUUGACGGGUAGCCGGCCUGAGAGGGUGACCGGCCACAUUGGGACUGAGAUACGGCCCAGACUCCUACGGGAGGCAGCAGUGGGGAAUAUUGCACAAUGGGCGGAAGCCGGAUGCAGCAACGCCGCGUGCGGGAUGACGGCCUUCGGGUUGUAAACCGCUUUCGCCUGUGACGAAGCGUGAGUGACGGUAAUGGGUAAAGAAGCACCGGCUAACUACGU